CAGUAGCCGCGGGAAUACGUAUGUCACGAGCGUUAUCCGGAUUUAUUGGGCGUAAAGCGCGUCUAGGUGGUUAUGUAAGUCUGAUGUGAAAAUGCAGGGCUCAACUCUGUAUUGCGUUGGAAACUGUGUAACUAGAGUACUGGAGAGGUAAGCGGAACUACAAGUGUAGAGGUGAAAUUCGUAGAUAUUUGUAGGAAUGCCGAUGGGGAAGCCAGCUUACUGGACAGAUACUGACGCUAAAGCGCGAAAGCGUGGGUAGCAAACAGGAUUAGAUACCCCGGUAGUCCCUGUCUCUUAUACA
rnacentral:rRNA from 1 species